GUGUUCUAUUUUUAAAGUUUAAAUCACAUGUUAACUAAUGUGCAUGUAAGAUUUGUACAUCAAGUUACCAGACCAUGCACUAACUGAAGAUAGGAGGUACCCACUAACUCGCGUCAUCCAUUAUCAAACCAGAGAUGAUUAGUACCUAUCAUUUCAGUGGAAAUCAUUACCUGAUUGGAAUUAUCAAUUCAAAACUCCCAAAGAUUUUCAAACAAACAUAAUAAGUGACGGAUCACACUUAGUGGCGGAUCUAGUGUGGGACCUACAUGUACCAGAGUUGCAUCACUAUUAAAUAUAUCUUCUUUAGGAUAUUCUUUUUUGAAAGCCUUUGUUCAGCCCAAAGUUAGACUUCAGACAGCACUCAGAGAGUAAACACUUACAGAACAUGUCUUAAGCAAUGAUCUGAUAAAGACAUUGGAAGGAAUCGUACGUCCACUAACAAGUUUAUCCACGCCAGACUUCAGAAUUCAACGAAAACUGUAUACAGGUAUACUAAAUACCUUUCAUUUAUUCCUGUUAAGUUUCUUCAUUUCGAGGAGGAACUCUUGACUCCACUUUCACAACUUCCUGUUGCUC